rnacentral:rRNA from 1 species
AUUUAACGCUGGCGGCAUGCUUUACACAUGCAAGUCGAACGGCAGCGCGGGGCAACCUGGCGGCGAGUGGCGAACGGGUGAGUAAUACAUCGGAACGUACCCAGAAGUGGGGGAUAACGUCGCGAAAGUUACGCUAAUACCGCAUACGUUCUACGGAAGAAAGUGGGGGAUCGCAAGACCUCAUGCUUUUGGAGCGGCCGAUGUCUGAUUAGCUAGUUGGUGAGGUAAAGGCUCACCAAGGCGACGAUCAGUAGCUGGUCUGAGAGGACGACCAGCCACACUGGGACUGAGACACGGCCCAGACUCCUACGGGAGGCAGCAGUGGGGAAUUUUGGACAAUGGGCGCAAGCCUGAUCCAGCAAUGCCGCGUGAGUGAAGAAGGCCUUCGGGUUGUAAAGCUCUUUUGUCAGGGAAGAAACGGCUGAGGUUAAUACCUUCGGCUAAUGACGGUACCUGAAGAAUAAGCACCGGCUAACUACGUGCCAGCCGCCGCGGUAA